rnacentral:rRNA from 1 species
UGGGGAAUUUUGGACAAUGGGCGAAAGCCUGGUCCAGCAAUGCCGCGUGUGUGAAGAAGGCAUUCGGGUUGUAAAGCACUUUUGUCCGGAAAGAAAUCCUUGGCUCUAAUACAGUCGGGGGGAUGACGGUACCGGAAGAAUAAGCACCGGCUAACUACGUGCCAGCAGCCGCGGUAAUACGUAGGGUGCAAGCGUUAAUCGGAAUUACUGGGGCGUAAAGCGUGCGCAGGCGGUUUGCUAAGACCGAUGUGAAAUCCCCGGGCUCAACCUGGGAACUGCAUUGGUGACUGGCAGGCUAGAGUAUGGCAGAGGGGGGUAGAAUUCCACGUGUAGCAGUGAAAUGCGUAGAGAUGUGGAGGAAUACCGAUGGCGAAGGCAGCCCCCUGGGCCAAUACUGACGCUCAUGCACGAAAGCGUGGGGGAGCAAACAGGAUUAGAUACCCUGGUAGUCCACGCCCUAAACGAUGUCAACUAGUUGUUGGGGAUUCAUUUCCUUAGUAACGUAGCUAACGCGUGAAGUUGACCGCCUGGGGAGUACGGUCGCAAAGAUUAAAACUCAAAGGAAUUGACGGGGUCAUAGCUGUUUCC